rnacentral:lncRNA from 1 species
AGUGAAGAGGUGCCAGAAUCCGCGAAGAGGGUCGACGAAUGCGCUGCCGCGGAGGGCCGUGGAAGAACUUGCCGAUGGAGGGACCACAGAGGGAUCUAUGGGAGAACAACGGCAACUGCAGGAGAGCAACAAUGGCCAUGAGGGAUUCAAGGAUUAUGCGUCUCUGCACCCUACAAUACACCAACUGGCAGUUCCAUCAUUUGAAAGAAAAUCUUCAAGGUAAAGACAUUUACAAUGACACAAAAACCUUUCAAAGGCAUCAUGGUCCUAAAGGGCUUUCCCCAAGGGACAGCACAGUGUGUUCCAGGCCCUGACAAGAGGUUUAAGACCUGUGACACAGACUGAAGCUCUCCUGGCAUACUCUGAAGCUCUCCUGGCACCCUCCCCUUUAUGCUUCACAGGUGUUUCUCCUAAUAAAUUUCUUGUAUGUCUCAUCCCAUCUGGG